UCUUCUACUUAUACUUAUUCUUCUUCUACUUCUUCUUCUUCUUCUUCUUCUUCUUCUUCUUCUACUUCUUCUUCUACUUCUUCUUCUACUUCUUCUUCUUCUUCUUCUUCUUCUUCAGAAAGUGACUUUUCCUCGGCCUCAGGACGGAGUUGAUUGAUUGUAUUUUAUGAAACUUUAUUGAACACGUCUGCGUGGAGGAGAGCGAGAGCAGCUUCUUCUUCUUCUUCUUCCUCCUCCUCUUCCUCCUCUUCCUCAGUGUGGCAGCAUGUGUUGAGGCUUCAGACGAACUCCGUUUGAAGAGGUUUUUUUAACCCUUUCUACUCUUUACCGUUGACUCCCGCUGUGAGUAGGUAGAUCCGGUGUGUAGUUCAGUGACGUGUUGUGUUUGUGAGCUUCUAGUAAAACGCAGUGUUGUUUACACUUUUAUCAGCAUUGACGAUGAUGAUGAUCACCUGUACAUAGUUUGAUUCAGAUGAUGACGGAUGUCUCCACCGCUCCACCAGAGACACAGUUAAUGUUCAGACCCCCCAAAAUACCAGAAUUUGACCUUUGACCUUGAAUCCAACCUGAUCUGAUAGCACACGCUCUACCUCUCUCUGUACGGGGGCUUCCACAGUUAUACACAAAUGAUGCCGACGUCUCUGCAGGCGACCUGAUGCCUCAACGUACGGUGGCCCAGACGGACCAAACAUCUGGUUCAGGUCACGGAUCUAUCCAGAGAAGGAAACCAGAGUAUUUAUACUACUAUACUGUAGUGAGCCAAGGUAUUUACUCAUAAAACAUACACAGAAUUAAGAGGUGCUAUUUCCUGCAUUUCUAAUUUUACCCCCGUUUCAUAUCUCAGAUCUCAGCCGUCAGAAAACUACAAAGUGAGAACAGGAAGUGUGUUUCUAUCGGCGUGUUAACGGAUCAAUAGGAGUGAUUCUGUUCUGUCUGAGCCACCGUAUGAGACCCUGAACACAUCCGUCCCUGAAGGGCUCAUCUCUUUAAACAGGAACCAAACCUACAAAACCUCUGGAGCCCUGAAAACAUCUGGUUUAUGUUGUUAGAAGUACUGAAAACAUCUGCUUUAUGUUGUUAGAAGUACUGAAAACAUCUGGUUUAUGUUGUUAGAAGUACUGAAAACAUCUGCUUUAUGUUGUUAGAAGUACUGAAAACAUCUGGUUUAUGUUGUUAGCAGUACUGAAAACAUCUGGUUUAUGUUGUUAGAAGUACUGAAAACAUCUGCUUUAUGUUGUUAGCAGUACUGAAAACAUCUGCUUUAUGUUGUUAGAAGUACUGAAAACAUCUGCUUUAUGUUGUUAGAAGUACUGAAAAUACUCCACUACAAAAAAGUAAAAGUCCUGCACUCAAACUGUUACUGAAGUAAAAGAACACCCGCCUCCCCUCUCUGAUGCUUCCUGACUAAACAAGCAACUCUCUGAUUGGUCCAUUCGACUGUCAGUCAAAGGAGGCGUCUCCUGAACCGGGUCAAAGGUCAGACUCUGGGCUGGAGUUUGGUUCCUCUUUAAAUAAUCUGGUAAAAACAAGAACACACGUCUUCUGUUACACCUGUCCACAGCGCUCACCUGUCCACCUGUCUGCAGGUAAACACCUGUCCACAGGUGUUCUACCUGUCCACAGGUGUUUUACCUGUCCACAGGUGUUCUACCUGUGCUUUACCUGUCCACAGGUGUUCUACCUGUCCACAGGUGUUUUACCUGUCCACAGGUGUUCUACCUGUGCUUUACCUGUCCACAGUUGUUCUACCUGUCCACAGGUGUGUAUAACUUCUUGCCAAAUGGAGCUCACUGGCUGAGUAGCGGUCCUGGUAGACAGCAUGUACUCUGUAUAUUUGAUUUACAUCUAUACUCUUAUUAUGUUAUUAAUAUGAUAUUAAUCUGGGCUCUGAGGGGCCGUCGGGGGGGCGGAGGUGGGCGGGGCUAAACUGUAAACGGUGUUUGUUUUGUGUUUGCUGAGUGAACUCGUACCUCUUUUAUUUUGAAGGAUGACAUAUAACGGUAUCUCUGCAUGUAUUAUUUAUUUCUGUUGAUCAUAUCAGAUUAAAAACUCUGAAUCCUGCAGAAGGUCAGUCUGAACCAGCUGACCCGAGGUCACCUGAGGUCACCUGAGGUCACCUGAGGUCAGUCUGAACCAGCUGACCCGAGGUCAGUCUGAACCAGCUGACCCGAGGUCACCUGAGGUCACCUGAGGUCAGUCUGAACCAGCUGACCUGAGGUCAGCUGAGGUCAGUCUGACGGACACUGAGAGAGGAUUCACAUCAUGUACAGUAAGGAUAGUUGAUAGAAUCAGUCUUCUGUUCUUCUUCCUGCUGGAGCUUCUGAUCAUAAAACUCUCUGAUAUCACAACAA